UUAAGAAUCUCGCGCAAUGGGGGAAACCCUGACGCAGCGACGCCGCGUCGACAAUGAAGGCCUUCGGGUUGUAAAGUCCGAUAAGCGGGGAAGAAUAAGCAACGGGUACUAUUCGUUGCGAUGCCGGUACCUGCCUAAAGCCCCGGCUAACUACGUGCCAGCAGCCGCGGUAAUACGUAUGGGGCUAGCGUUGUUCGGACUUAUUGGGCGUAAAGGGCGUCUAGGCGGGGGAUUAAGUUAGGUGUGAAAUCCCUGGGCUCAACCCAGGAACUGCAUCUAAAACUGGUUCUCUGGAGUUCGGGAGAGGAGAGCGGAAUGCGCGGUGUAGCGGUGAAAUGCGUAGAUAUCGGGAAGAACACCAGUGGCGAAGGCGGCUCUCUGGCCUAGAACUGACGCUGAAGCGCGAAAGCGUGGGGAGCAAACA
rnacentral:rRNA from 1 species